rnacentral:snRNA from 1 species
AUACUUAUGCGUCAGGGGAGAUACCAUGAUUAUGAAAGUGGUUCUCUCAGGGGAGGCUCAUCCACUGGACUCUGGGUGUUCUGACCCCAAGUGUGGGAAACUUGAUUGUAUGAUUUGUCAUAUUCAGGGACUGCAUUCAUGCUCUCCCUGU